rnacentral:rRNA from 1 species
AGCGAACGCUGGCGGCAGGCCUAACACAUGCAAGUCGAGCGCCCGUAGCAAUACGGGAGCGGCAGACGGGUGAGUAACACGUGAGAACGUACCCUUCGGUUCGGAAUAACCCAGGGAAACUUGGAUUAAUACCGGAUACGUCCGUAAGGAGAAAGAUUUAUCGCCGAAGGAUCGGCCCGCGUCCGAUUAGCUUGUUGGUGGGGUAAUGGCCCACCAAGGCUACGAUCGGUAGCUGGUCUGAGAGGAUGAUCAGCCACACUGGGACUGAGACACGGCCCAGACUCCGACGGGAGGCAGCAGUGGGGAAUAUUGGACAAUGGGCGCAAGCCUGAUCCAGCCAUGCCGCGUGGGUGAUGAAGGCCCUAGGGUUGUAAAGCCCUUUCGGCGGGGAAGAUAAUGACGGUACCCGCAGAAGAAGCCCCGGCUAACUUCGUGCCAGCCGCCGCAGUAAGAC